rnacentral:rRNA from 1 species
AUUGAACGCUGGCGGCAGGCCUAACACAUGCCAGUCGAGCGGAUGAAGGGAGCUUGCUCCUGGAUUCAGCGGCGGACGGGUGAGUAAUGCCUAGGAAUCUGCCUGGUAGUGGGGGAUAACGUCCGGAAACGGGCGCUAAUACCGCAUACGUCCUGAGGGAGAAAGUGGGGGAUCUUCGGACCUCACGCUAUCAGAUGAGCCUAGGUCGGAUUAGCUAGUUGGUGGGGUAAAGGCCUACCAAGGCGACGAUCCGUAACUGGUCUGAGAGGAUGAUCAGUCACACUGGAACUGAGACACGGUCCAGACUCCUACGGGAGGCAGCAGUGGGGAAUAUUGGACAAUGGGCGAGAGCCUGAUCCAGCCAUGCCGCGUGUGUGAAGAAGGUCUUCGGAUUGUAAAGCACUUUAAGUUGGGAGGAAGGGCAGUAAGUUAAUACCUUGCUGUUUUGACGUUACCAACAGAAUAAGCACCGGCUAACUUCGUG